GAUGAACGCUGACAGAAUGCUUAACACAUGCAAGUCGAUGGGGAAGUGGUGCUUGCACCAUGGCAACCAUGGCGGACGGGUGAGUAACGCGUAAGGGACUUACCUGCAGGACUGGGAUAACAGGGGGAAACUCCUGACAAGACCGGAUAAUGUCAUGGAGCUGCAUGGCUUUAUGAUGAAAGGAGACGCCUGCGGAGAGCCUUGCGUCCUAUUAGCUAGUUGGUGAGGUAAUGGCUCACCAAGGCGAAGAUAGGUAGCCGGCCUGAGAGGGUGGACGGCCACAAGGGGACUGAGAUACGGCCCUUACUCCUACGGGAGGCAGCAGUGGGGAAUAUUGGACAAUGGGGGCAACCCUGAUCCAGCAAUUCUGUGUGCACGAAGAAGGUUUUCGGAUUGUAAAGUGCUUUCAGCAGGGAAGAAGUAAGUGACGGUACCUGCAGAAGAAGCGACGGCUAAAUACGUA
rnacentral:rRNA from 1 species